rnacentral:rRNA from 1 species
AGCAGUAGCCGCGGUAAUACGUAGGUGGCAAGCGUUGUCCGGAAUUAUUGGGCGUAAAGCGCGCGCAGGCGGAUCGGUCAGUCUGUCUUAAAAGUUCGGGGCUUAACCCCGUGAUGGGAUGGAAACUGCCAAUCUAGAGUAUCGGAGAGGAAAGUGGAAUUCCUAGUGUAGCGGUGAAAUGCGUAGAUAUUAGGAAGAACACCAGUGGCGAAGGCGACUUUCUGGACGAAAACUGACGCUGAGGCGCGAAAGCCAGGGGAGCGAACGGGAUUAGAUACCCGCGUAGUCCCUGUCUCUUAUACA